rnacentral:tRNA from 1 species
GGUGGCUCAGUGGUAGAGUGCUUGCCUGGCAUGCAUGAGGCCCUGGGUUCGAUACCUUUGCACCA